GGAUUGCCUCAGUAACGGCGAGUGAAGCGGCAACAGCUCAAAUUUGAAAUCUGGCCCUCUCAGGGUCCGAGUUGUAAUUUGUAGAAGAUGCUUUGGGUGUGGCUCCGGUCUAAGUUCCUUGGAACAGGACGUCAUAGAGGGUGAGAAUCCCGUAUGUGACUGGUUGCCUUCGCCCGUGUAAAGCUCUUUCGACGAGUCGAGUUGUUUGGGAAUGCAGCUCAAAAUGGGUGGUAAAUUUCAUCUAAAGCUAAAUAUUGGCCAGAGACCGAUAGCGCACAAGUAGAGUGAUCGAAAGAUGAAAAGCACUUUGGAAAGAGAGUUAAACAGUACGUGAAAUUGUUGAAAGGGAAGCGCUUGCAACCAGACUUGCACGCAGUUAAUCAUCUGGUGUUCUCACCGGUGCACUUUUCUGCGUUCAGGCCAGCAUCGGUUUAGGUGGUGGGAUAAAGGCCUUGGGAAUGUAGCUUCUCUCGGGGAGUGUUAUAGCCCUCGGCGCAAUGCCGCCUACCUGGACCGAGGACCGCGCUUCGGCUAGGAUGCUGGCGUAAUGGUUGUAAGCGACCCGUCUUGAAACACGGACCAAGGAGUCUAACAUCUAUGCGAGUGUUUGGGUGUCAAACCCAUACGCGUAAUGAAAGUGAACGGAGGUGAGAACCCUUAAGGGUGCAUCAUCGACCGAUCCUGAUGUCUUCGGAUGGAUUUGAGUAAGAGCAUAGCUGUUGGGACCCGAAAGAUGGUGAACUAUGCCUGAAUAGGGUGAAGCCAGAGGAAACUCUGGUGGAGGCUCGCAGCGGUUCUGACGUGCAAAUCGAUCGUCAAAUUUGGGUAUAGGGGCGAAAGACUAAUCGAACCAUCUAGUAGCUGGUCUG
rnacentral:rRNA from 1 species